UUAUAGCUGGCCAAUUGACCCUUCGCUAAGCCCCGCCCUAGAACAGCCACUGUCCAAUGCUACGUUAGUAACCGUUACUAAGCAGGGGAGGCCUGGCAAGCUAUCGAGGAAAUGCCGAAGUGAUGCGCUUACGGUACCUGCAAAUCAGACAGCAGAUAUCCUGAAAGUUUGGAGGAUGAGGUCGUAUUUUGGGCUUUUCCUAAGCCUAAAACACAAGAGGAAACAUGUCCAAUGUGGAUCAAACAGUGUGGACGGCCUCACUCACAGCUGAAUCCAUCGUGGAUAAACAAAAACACAUUUGUUUUCUCCAAGCAUUUUGUGAAUGGACAGCCUACACCUGAUAAUCCGAAUCCCAUAGCUGCUAUCCCUGCACCUGUGCAAAGGAAGGAACAUUAUGGAGGUUGCCGAAAGCCUCCAACAAAAUGGCCAAAGAAAAAGUGUGAUGGGUCAUCCAUCUGCGCUACAUGGGAAAGCGGGACCUGACCAAAGCCCCCUGAGCUGAAACACCCAGCAGGGUGUUUAAACGAGACCCUUUCACUGCGAGUGCUUCAGUAUGGUGCUGGUUUCCUGUGGCCUCAGCUAAGUCUUGGAGGUCCUCUACUUCAGACUCUAGAGUAAUCACUGAACUCAUUAAGAAGUUAGAAAUGGGAAUGCCCCGAAGAACCAUGAAACAUAAACUUCACCUGUCUGUGAAAGACGUUACCAGUUGUGUGUUGGCAGCGAAUGAGAAGGAAGA